rnacentral:lncRNA from 1 species
AGUUCUAAAUCUUACGUCAGUGGUCAAAAAGAUAGCUCAAACAGUAGAACGGGCAAAGCAACUCAUACGAGAAUAUUAAGAUGUCUUUCCAACUAACCUACCUAGUGGCAUACCUCCUGAUCAAAGAGCCCCCUUUCAAAUAGAACUAUUGCUUAGAGCCAAACUAGCAAGUCAAUCAAAUUAUUGUCUAGGACCAAAAGGACUUGAAGAGUUGUAGAAGACAUUGGACGAACUUUUAGAGAAAGGCCUCAUUUGAGAAGGCACAUC